GGUAGCGUGGCCGAGUGGUCUAAGGUGCUGGAUUUAAACUCCAGUUAUUUUGAUGGUGUGGGUUCGAACCCCACCACUGCCA
rnacentral:tRNA from 1 species